rnacentral:misc_RNA from 1 species
UUGAUUCAUUUAUAGUUGUUUACUCAGAUGAUAUUACAAAAACAAGAGUUUAUAGGGGCCGUCGGCCGGUCUGCUCCUUACCCCCUAGGGGGACAGGGACUUCAUUCGAAGCCAACCAAUGCCGAGGCAACAAUGGGGUAUAAGUUCACAAAGGGUUUCUGGGUAGCACCCGUGAGGGCGUUUGUUCCAGCAAUGAUCCCUCCGCUGGUUCACCAACGGAGA